rnacentral:rRNA from 1 species
UACGAAGGGGGCGAGCGUUGUUCGGAAUUACUGGGCGUAAAGGGCGCGUAGGCGGUGCAUCAAGUCAGGCGUGAAAGCCCCGGGCUCAACCUGGGAACGGCGCUUGAGACUGGUGCGCUCGAGUUCGGGAGAGGAUGGUGGAAUUCCCAGUGUAGAGGUGAAAUUCGUAGAUAUUGGGAAGAACACCGGUGGCGAAGGCGGGUCUCUGGGCCGAUACUGACGCUGAGGCGCGAAAGCUAGGGAGCAAACGGG